rnacentral:rRNA from 1 species
UACGAAGGGGGCUAGCGUUGCUCGGAAUCACUGGGCGUAAAGGGUGCGUAGGCGGGUCUUUAAGUCAGGGGUGAAAUCCUGGAGCUCAACUCCAGAACUGCCUUUGAUACUGGAGAGCUUGAGUCCGGAAGAGGUGAGUGGAACUCCGAGUGUAGAGGUGAAAUUCGUAGAUAUUCGCAAGAACACCAGUGACGAAGGCGGCUCACUGGCCCGGUACUGACGCUGAGGUGCGAAAGCGUGGGGAGCAACAGGG